GGACGGAGUUCUCCGGGGUGUUCAAUGCCAGGGGACAACUCCAGUACUCUCUGCCUGGACAUACUUCCCGUGUCCUUCCACAGACAGCUGAUUUACUUAUUGAAAAGUUUUAAAAUAGAGAGAGGAAGAACGUCGGACUAAACAAAUUCAGUAGAGACUCCUAUUGAGAAAGUUCUUCAAAUUAAAGAUACUUUGGCCAGUAAAUCCCUAUCCUAUUGAGAAAAUCGAAUAAACACAUGGCUAAACCCGGGAGGUGGUCCACGUGUCCUCCCACAGACAGCUGAUUUACUUAUACAAAGUUUUAAAAGAGAGAGAGGAAGAACGUCGGACUAAACAAAUUCAGUUGAGACUCCUAUUGAGAAAGUUCUUCAAAUUAAAGAUACUUUGGCCAGUAAAUCCCUAUCCUAUUGAGAACAUAGACUAAACACAUGGCUAAACCCGGGAGGUGGUCCACGUGUCCUCCCACAGACAGAUGAUUUACUUAUUGGAAAGUUUUAAAAGAGAGAGAGGAAGAACGUCGAACUAAACAAAUUCAGUAGUGACUCCUAUUGAGAACAUAGACUAAACACAUGGCUAAACCCGGGAGGUGGUCCACGUGUCCUCCCACAGACAGCUGAUUUACUUAUACAAAGUUUUAAAAGAGAGAGAGGAAGAACGUCGAACUAAACAAAUUCAGUAGUGACUCCUAUUGAGAACAUAGACUAAACACAUGGCUAAACCCGGGAGGUGGUCCACGUGUCCUCCCACAGACAACUGAUUUACUUAUACAAAGUUUUAAAAUAGAGAGAGGAAGAACGUCGGACUAAACAAAUUCAGUAAAGACUCCUAUUGAGAACAUAGACUAAACACAAGGCUAAAUCCGGGAGGUGGUCCACGUGUCCUCCCACAGACAGCUGAUUUACUUAUACAAAGUUUUAAAAUAGAGAGAGGAAGAACGUCGGACUAAACAAAUUCAGUAGAGACUCCUAUUGAGAAAAUCGAAUAAACACAUGUCUAAACCCGGAAGGUGGUCCACGUGUCCUCCCACAGACAGCUGAUUUACUUAUACAAAGUUUUAAAAUAGAGAGAGGAAGAACAUCGGACUAAAAACUGCAGUAGAGACUCCUAUUGAGAACAUAGACUAAACACAUGUCUAAACCCGGGAGGUGGUCCACGUGUCCUCCCACAGACAGCUGAUUUACUUAUACAAAGUUUUAAAAUAGAGAGAGGAAGAACGUCAAACUAAAAACUGCAGUAGAGACUCCUAUUGAGAACAUAGACUAAACACAUGUCUAAACCCGGGAGGUGGUCCACGUGUCCUCCCACAGACAGCUGAUUUACUUAUACAAAGUUUUAAAAGAGAGAGAGGAAGAACGUCAAACUAAAAACUGCAGUAGAGACUCCUAUUGAGAAAAUAGACUAAACACAUGGCUAAACCCGGGAGGUGGUCCACAGACCAACAGAUAAGAACAGAUAAGAAGAAUCUCGUUAAAUAAAAAUAUCAGACCUCCAGGGAAAAGUAUCUUUUCAAAAACCUUUUUAAUCUCUAGCUUUCAGGUACGAAGGCCCUUCUACAGGAGAAGCUACACCUAUCCCCCGAUUUACACGGUACUUUUACACGGUUUUCCAAAUAAGUUUUUUUUUAUCGCACUAUACUAAAUGCUACUGUGAUUGAACACAUGCGCUGUAUACACAUCUCACGAGGAUUCUCCCGAGCUUAUGUGCUGACUACAUAUUUUAACCUGUCAACGCAUUUUAUUUCUGUGUACACCUAUCCCCCGAUUUACACGUUUUUCUCAGGAACGUAUCUACCGUGUAAAUCGGGGGAUAGGUGUACUGUUGUAAUAUUGUCGCCCAGAAAAAAAUGAAAGCUUUCCAUUUUAUCUUAAUAACAUAAAUAAUUUUAUUCGCGAUCGAACGUUGUGGCCCACUGUACAUAUUACAUCCAUACAAUGGACGUUCAUGGGAAAAGGAAUUCUAUGGUGGUAUUUGUCUUAAUAAAGCCAUCAACAUGAUUGUUAUAUUAUGUUUAUACUUUUGUAAUUAUUUAAAAGAAUAUUUAGAUAAAAAUUAUAAUAAAGAGACAAGGGUCGCCUCUCCCGUCAAAAUAGACGUCUAAAACCAGACGCCAUCUAUUGACCGUCGCCGCAACUAGCAGCCUCAGGUCGGUGACAAAGCCACAAGCUUUGGCAAACUGAAAAGCGUCCACCUAGAGACCAUGGUUUCGGGCUAAUGGCCCUCGUCGGUCUAGGGCGGAUUUAUUCCAUGAGAUCCACACGGGAUCUAAUGGAAUCUUGACAAUCUGCCAAAGAGGUGUUUAAUGGCAAAGUGGCUGGGCCAUAUCUAUGGCUAAAAUAUAGAUGGAAAUUUUGCCGGGAGGAAAUUGAUAUAAAGAGACAAGGGUCGCCUCUCCCGUCAAAAUAGACGUCUAAAACAGACGCCAUCUAUUGACCGUCGCCGCAACUUUGUCACCGACCCGAGGCCGUUAGUUGCGGCGACGGUCAAUAGAUGGCGUCUGGUUUUAGACGUCUAUUUUGACGGGAGAGGCGACCCAUGUCUCUUUAUAUCAAUUUCCUCCCGGCAAAAUUUCCAAAAAUUAUAAUGAGAGGGUUUUUGAAUUCCAUUUUUAGGUAAACUCUUUCAGAAGUUUCGCCAGUAUAAUCCUCCAGAUAUUUAUUGAACCGCUUUUUAUUUAUUUAAUCCCCGACGUUUCGAUAACUUUGUAUCACCCUUCUCAGUGGAAUAAGUUCUUGAAUUCUAACGCCUUUUUUUAUAAGCACGGUUUUUUUAAAUAUACAACAACAGCAAAAAGCCUUUAUUGAGGACCUCUCGUCCUAUAAAGGAUUCGCCAGUUUACAGAGUAAGUGAAGAGAAGAGAACUAAGAAUACAGAGAUAUAUGUAGUAGGUAUAGUAUAGUAUUUUCUACACUGUGACUAUAUACAACAGCAGCAGUUUUUUAAAAUAUAUAUAAAACGUCAAACGCUUUUUUUUUUACCAUAUCCUAACUAGCAAAUAAUUUAUAAAAUUAUAUUUAUUACUUCUAAAAUGAAAAGAGUAUCCCAAAAUAGUGUUUAAGGAAAACAUCGGCUACAUUGAAAAAUAAAUGUUUUUUUAAAAGACUUAAUAGAAAAUAGUAAGGCAGAGUCCCACGUGGUCUAGUGGCUAGGAUAUCUGGCUUUCACCCAGAAGGCCCGGGUUCGAUUCCCGGCGUGGGAACUUUUUUUUUUUUUUUUUUUACUUAGACUUAGAGGACGAAGCUGAAAUACUAUUACGGCCCCCUCGGCCCAGCUAAAAAGUGUAAUUUUUGAAAAUUUUGAAAAAUACUUUAAGCAUGAUCCAAAUGAAAUAUUAAUUGUAAUAAUGGUAAAAAUAAGUGUUGAAAACAUUAUAAAAGAUACAUUUUUAAAAUAAAUUCAAUAUAUAUUUUAUUAUUAAAUUUUGAAAAAAUCAAAAUUUUAUUCAAAAAUGAAAAUCACUCCAACACAAAAAUGAUCCAAAAAUAAAUUUAUAUAAUGAAAAUGACAUUUAUUUUUUAAAAAAUGAAGUAAUUUAUAUAUAUAUACAAUAAUUUAAUGCGAUAAAAUAAUUUUUAUACCUUAUAAUAAUCUUUUAUUGUAUGGUACAGUUUGAAGCAAUCACCAAGGCAUAGUGGAACUAGGCAGGUCUCACAUUCAUAGGCUGUAUCUUUUCUUGCCUGCUUGCCAGUGGUUACCCUGCCUUUUUCAGCGCAAACUUUGCAUCUGCGUUGGGCAUAUGUUUUGCCUUCAACUUUGAUUCGGCGAAUAAAAUGACGUCCAAUAAGUCGAUCAGAUUGUUCACCGCUUGAAGGUUGAGCAUCAAGAAUAUCUUGAUUGGCUUCUGAGCAAAGAGCUUCGCAUAUUGAAAUAUGGAAGUCCCUCAAAGACAUUUUAGCAUCAGGAUUCAAUUUAUUGUAAAUUAUGCAUGAAUUUACAAUAGCAAGUCCAUAUAUAUGGAAAAAUAGUUUCUUCCACCAUUUCAUUGUGCGUCGAUCAAAAGAAUAAUAGGAGAGCAUCUGGUCACUUCGGUCCACUCCAAUUUUAUUCUUAUUGUAGUCAAGAACAACUUGUGGUUUGAAUAUUGGAGCUUGCGAAAGUCCAGGUCUCCCCAUGACUUCAACCAUUUGAUGGUCGUGAACAGUUGAGAUCAUCCAAACAUCUCUGGUGUGGCGCCAUUUCAUUGCCAUUAGGCUACCCUUGAAUAGAUGCAUUUCUUCACCUUUCUUCAAUUUUUUUGAAAAGGAUUUCUUAGGAAGACCUUUCCUAUUAGUUUUUACUGUACCAACAGCCAUUGUUUUCUUUUCCCAUAGAUAGUUGAAGAGGUGGGGCGAAGAAAACCACCUGUCACAAUAAAUGAUGUGACCUCUGUUGAAGAGAUGAGAGGCCAAUCGUUCUACCAAAUUUGGUAUAGAGUUAUAGCCUUCUUCCUGGCUUGGAUGUUUACCUGUGUAUAUGUUGAUAUUACAGGUAUAACCAGAAUUGGCUUCACAAAUAUGGUAGAUCUUUAUUCCAUAUUUGUGAGGCUUGCCUUUUAUGUAAAUACGGAACCUUAUUCUUCCUCUGAAUGGACAAAUAGCUUCAUCAAUGGUCAGAUUCUGGGUCGGGGAAUAAAGGCAUUGGAAUUUUUUGGUAAGAGGAUCUAGAAAAGUUCUUAUUUUAUAUAGAGGAUCAUGUCCACUUUGUCCAAAAGGAAUAUAGGAAGAAUUAUCAGCCAGGUGAAGCAUUGACAAAAUUGCUUCGAACCUAUUUCUAGCCAUUAUUUUUUUACAGAAAGUGGUAUUGAGGACAGAAUUGGUGGACCAGUAAUCUUUCAUUCUUGGCUUUAUAACAAGGCACAUGUGUAUAAUGCAGGCAAAAAAUAACUUUAUUUCUGCAAUUGACACUGCUUUCCAAUUAGCCAGAAAGCUAUAUGCCUUGAGAGGACCCCUUUUCUUCUGUUUAUCAAUUGUAGACCUUGCAUACUUGUUUGUUUCUAAUUUAAUUUUCCUGUACAUUUCUUCGUCAAUAAAAGUUUUGAAAAUAUUAUAUGGGGACAUUGUUUGUGUAAAAAAAUCCAUUUUAGGGCCAGGUUGGUCUAAGAAAACCGGACAGUUUACUGAGGGAUUCCGAACAUUUGCCCAACCCUCAUCUUGGGGCUCUUCAAGUCUCCUUUGUUUAGAUGGAGGCUGAGCAAAUUCUCCUUCUUCCAAAUCAUAUAUUUCAGUUUCAUCUGAAUCCAGACCUUCAACAUAAUCUGGAUCAACAACUGGAUCAUCAAUUUCAGACCCAGAAUCAGAGCAAAAUUCGUCUAGAUGUUUUUCAUCAAGAGAAGAUUUAUAAAAUGGACCUACCAAUUUGGAGGUGCUUGGUUGACUAGGAUCCAUCAUAAAAUGAAAAUAAUCCUUCAAAAAGUAUUUUAUAAGUGAAAGAUAUUGAAAAUAAGACAAAAAAACAAGAGCACUAUAAAUAGGUAAGUUGAGCACACUGCAGUUGUUUACAGAAGAGGAAGGAAGUGGGAAAUCACGUGUGCCAUGAUGUAAAGGGGGUGGAAGGGGGGGCGAGAGGGAGGGGAGGAGCCUGUCAAGGUCAUGUCAUCAUGAGACGGCCGCGAAAAGUUGUUGGGGCCAGGUGCCCAAUGACGUGGAUUGCCACCCGAUUUUCUAUUGAUUUUUAAAGUUUCAUGACGUGGAUCCACGUCAUUGGGGUUUGGUGCUUUAAUAGCAAUGACGUGGAUCCACGUCAUUGGGGUUGAAAGUGUUAAAAAAAAAAAAAAAUAUUAGAAAAAAAUUUUAACUCAUUUUAACAGGAGAAUGUGAACAUCAUGUCACAAAUAUGGACCAACAGCCCGAAACGCGUACAUGGUUAACUUUUUAAAAACUUAUUAAUCCAAUACGGAUUUAUGGUCAAUUCUGGAAUAAUUAAAAAUCAACAAUUUGUUGAUAUUUAUUCCUACAGAUAUCGUAAGACAUCAACAACUUUCAGUUGUACAAUCAGGAGAUGCCUUUUUUCUUAAUUUAUCUACCUGAUCCCUGUCCAAUUUCACUUUUUUUUAUACUAAUUUUUCACAUUUUUAUAAGUAUAAAAACACUCAAAGUCUCAUCAAGGGCUUCAAUAAACUAAACCUCAUCAAUAAGUAAUGAUGUAAAAACUUAUCGCAAAAUUUGUCACAAUUUUCAACGAUAAUAAUCGCAAUGAAGACAUUUUAAAUAUAACAUUUUUUUACCAGAGAUAAGCACUUGAGCUUUGAUGAUGUCUUUUUCAUUUAUAAUAAUUCAUAUUUUACAUAGUAUUUUCUGAUAAAGCUACUCUAGGAAACUGGGUUAUAAAUAUCUUUCUGAUAAAGUUACAUAUUACAUAUAAAACUACAUAUUAGUUACAUAUUUUUUCAUUAAAUUUCUUUAUAAAAAAUCGUAAUUCAUUGAGGGUAUAUGUACUUUCAAUAAAAGAGGUAUAUCGGUUCAAUUCUGAAUUUGAAAAGGCUGCUACUCUCUUCAGUUUUACCAGAUAUUUUUGCAUAAGUAUAUAUAAUAAAAACUAUUUACAUACUCCCAAUAGACUUGACUUGAAGAUUUCAGCCCCACUCUGGUGGCGUUUGCCUGAAACCACAACAUAGAGUGUUAUGCAACUUAAUAUAAUGAAAUCUUAAUUUCUUCACAUAAGUAAAAAGAGCUAAUUCUAUAUUAAUUGGAUUUUUUUUGUAUACAGAGAAUUCUUUAGAAUUUUGAAGGAGCAGAUUUCAACAAUAAAGGUAUCCAUACAAAAGAUGUUCUUCUUCUUUCUUAUCUCCACUCAAUCGUAUUAAGGUAUCAAGCUUGUAAAGCUUGAGACUUUUGAUGGUGUCUGCUGGGGAAGAGUAGAGCUCAUCAAUGGAUGAGUCAUAUAAAAUGAAAGGAUAUAAAAGCACGAAUGUUUCUUUUAUACAUAAUACAAACUUCUACUGUGGUGAACCCUCCCAGCGGUUUCGCCAAUUUAAUCCACCAGACCGCUUCUCAGAGCUCUAAUACUGUUUUGGACGAUUCUGCUUAUAUACGCAGUACUGAAGGGUGGAAUCUUAGAAAUGGUUUUCAAUGAGUCAAUACAGUCAAUAAUGUGUUUUGGGGUUGCAGGUUGAUAAUUGCACUUACAAUAGAUAUCAUAAAUAGAUACAAUAGAUAUGAAUCUCCUGUAUAUGAAUUAAAUAAAGCAAUAGGUUUCUGGAAUGUGUGUUCCUUUUCUUUUUUUUUUAUUUUAAUCUCAAGCUUCGGUCAUUAGCACCCUUCUAAAAGAAUAGAAAAAUGAACAAAUGAUAAACUGACAAGCUGUCACAAAAUUUAAUAAAGUCGGUGGAUGAGAGGGUAACACGCUCGAUUCCCGACAGUCAUGAACCGGGAUUGAAUCCCGCGCGUUAAAAUUUGUUUAAUAUGUGAAUAACCUUCACAUAUUAUUCACUGUUUCAAUUAUCAUGAACUAGGUUGCUCUUGCUGAGCGGUACCUAUUAAUGUGAUUUGAACCAGGUCACAAAAUUUUGAUGAAAUUAUAUCAUUUAUAUAAAUACGACAUUUGUAGGUUUAGCAAGAUAAUUUUUUUUUUCGAAAACGAAUUCGAAAACUGUUGGGAGUUGAGAGAAAUGAUUUUACCAGCGAUUAUUUAAUAUCUCAAAGAUUGAAAUUUAGAUGAGAGAAUAUUGGUGGAUACAUGACUCUAAAAAAAAAAAAAAACUCUAACUGACCGAAGUAUCUAUUUUUCACAGAAAUAUAAAUGCUGGCCAGACAACAUCUAUCUUCAGGACAUGACCUCAAGUUUUAACGUUUGUUUUGACGGGAGAGAGAUGACCUUUAUAUACCUCAAAAAUACUCCCGGCAAGAUUUAAUCAAUAUUAAAUAUUUUUGCAUAUUUUCUGGGGAGAUCGGUAAAUAAUACCCCGACUAAAGAAUAAAUUCGCUGAAAGAGUGUUUUAUCAAAAUUCGAAACUAUUCUAGACGCGUAUGAUUAUUUUAAAAAUAAAACAAUUUCUACUGCCCUUACUUCAAUGAAAAAUUUAAUGGGAGGGCCUGGCUCUUCAGUGGUGAAUCCUCCCAGCGGUUUCGCUAGUUUUAAUCUACCAUACCGCUGUUAUAUUGCAUUUUUUGGAACUUCCUUUUAUAGUGAUACUGAUGCUAGACUCUUGGAAUACGAUACAUUAGACCGCCGUCCGGUAUAUAAAAGAGAGCUUAUGUUAAUCGGAAUUAUAAUCAUUCUGUAAGGCUUAGAGAGAGAUGUACCUGUGACUCCCGGACAUAGCAGUCGGUGGCGUUGACCGGACACACCAUCCAGGGCAACGUGGAGCUGAACGUGGCUCCCAUGUAGAACAGAGUGUAGGCCAUGAUGACGUUGUAGUAGACAACUACAAUGAUAGAUACUGUCAUCAUGGCACAGCCGAUUCCUGUAGAUACACCCCAUAGAAAGUCAGUAUCCCCGAGGACAUAGUAGUGUACCAUAGUUAGACAAUGCUCACUCUAUAACUGCUCAAACCGUCGUUUUAUUAGUAGUUAUUUUGGUACCUAUAUAGAUACAUGGUACAGGCCAUGAUAUUCAUGGAUGGGUAGUAUAUGUGGAUACUAUGUGUGUGAA
rnacentral:tRNA from 1 species